rnacentral:misc_RNA from 1 species
AGACAGCUAAUAGAGAUCUGUCCACAACGAGGACAUUUUCAUUGUUUGUCGUCCGUUUGAGUUGUGACUGGGCAAUGUGGUGAGAUUACAGAAUCCCAAAUGUCGGUUAAGAAGGCAACGCUUAAUCGCAUGAGCCUAGUGCGUGCGACAGCUUCUGGUUGGGCGUUUAAGCUGAGAAGUCAGCGAGUUCGACACAGAGGCCAGUACAUACAUCUGCCUAAGCCAAGUGUCUUCAAGUCCGUGACCUUCGUGUCCGGUUGACCGCCAUGGGCUGAAAACGAGUGAUUGUGCCGGCUGAAAAGUGUCAGAGCAAUUCGUGCCUUGUGAGAGUUCCUGAGGACCGCAUGAGCUGCCGCCGGAGCAUUGAGCCAGAGCCAUUGAGCCCGCGACACCGACAGUGAGAUACUCAAGGGUGAAAUUCCAUUUGAGAGACUCCCAUCAUUCUCACAGGUGAAACUCGUGUUCGAGAUACUCCAUACUCACAGGGUGAAAUUCCUUUGUGAAGGUCUCAUAUGGUGCAAUUCCUGCGUGAGAGAGCCGCCUAGAACGAAUAGCCAAGCUGAAAAUCCAGAGCUGCCAGCGCUGAGGAGCAAGCUGGAACGCUGAGCCGAAACACAUUGCUAGAGCAAAUAUCUGCUUUGACAGACGCCAUAUAUGGUCAAAAGCGCAAGAGAUGUCUGGGUCAGAUCCAUAAGUCCCACGAUAAGUCCGAAGUCCAGAGCUGAAAGCCAGAGUCGUAGCGAAUGCCAGAGCCGCCGAAGUGCAAGCCACUAAGAAGCAAUGAGAGCAUUUACCAGAUCCACAGAGCCAGGGUAAAUCCGGUAUAGCGGAGACAAGAACACCCAGCCGGUGAGUCAAGGCAGUAAGAGCCAUAUGCAGUUUUGAGCUAACACCAACCCACUAGUCCUGAACGGCAGCAAGAGCAGAGUCCAAAGAGCAAUAAGAGCGCUAUUCUCCUGAGAAAAAGCCUAUGAGACAACAGAUAAGUGCCACAUGCCGGAACAGACGAGAGCUAAGGAGCCAGGGCCAAAGAGCCGAGGCCAGCCAGGAGUCACACAAAGGAAUAGGCAGUGAACCUCUCUCAGCCAGAGGAUGUAGCCGACCGAACCUGAUCUAUUUAUUUAGUUUUUCAGAGGAAUAAGUGAAAAUCCGAACCUCUUGG